GACGAACGCUGGCGGCGUGCCUAAUACAUGCAAGUAGAACGCAGUUGCGAACGGGUGAGUAACGCGUAGGUAACUGCCUCAUAGCGGGGGAAAACUAUUGGAAACGAUAGCUAAUACCGCAUACUGUGAGAUGGACCUGCGUUGUAUUAGCUGGUUGGUGAGGUAAAGGCUCACCAAGGCGACGAUCCCUAGCAGACCUGAGAGGGUGAUCGGCCACAUUGGAACUGGGACACGGCCCAGACUCCUACGGGAGGCAGCAGUGGGGAAUUUUGGACAAUGGGGGAAACCCUGAUCCAGCCAUCCCGCGUGUGCGAUGAAGGCCUUCGGGUUGUAAAGCACUUUCAGCGGGGAGGCGUUACCCGCAGAAGAAGCACCGGCUAACUCCGUGCCAGCAGCCGCGGUAAUAC
rnacentral:rRNA from 1 species